UGAGAAAUUUUGACUAUCCAAUGUAAAUCUUAAGAAAAAUUGUCUCUAACACUGAAAUGGAUUCCCAGAUGUUCUUUCUGAGAAGUUACGAGAAAGCACUAUGGAGGUCAGGAAUUACAGUUAGCUUUGCAACAAUCUCAUAAUUCAGGAUUUAAGUAUUAAGUACUUUUUAAAAUGUUAAAAUUAUUUAAUGGCGUUUUUUUUUCUGCUUCAUCAUUCAUCUGAUUGACCCUACCGUUGAUUGUUUAGGAUACCUUUAAAAUCAAAGCCAACCUUGCUUAGACCGAUGAAUUCAUAUUAGCUUGUAUCUAUGAAAUCCAACCAGGACAGCUAUUUGUACCCUCUGUUUCUACCUCAUCAAGAAAUAGUUUUCACUUACAUCUUUCCCACUGAAAUCAGGGCGUGACCCAUUCUCCCAGCACUGCAUUUGUAUUUUCUUGCUGAUCUCCCCCAGACUCUGAACUCUUACCUGCCUGCUUGAACCCAGCGUACCCAGCCUCAGAAUCCCACUUCCAUAAGCCCAUGGCUUUCAGAUGUUUUGCUCUGCACUGGGAAAUCAUCUGGCUUCUGCACUUUACUUUUGUUUGGGGAACCCAAGGAUAUUCCCAAAUGAACUGAAGCUCUUGCCUCAAUAUCCUGCUUGCUGUAGGUAGCCUUUUGGGUCGAUUUCACAUGGUGGUCUCUGUUGCUCUUCAUAGUUAAUUCCUCCCAAAUUGGGCAUAGCCUGCCUGUCAAAAUAUUUGGGUGUUUUAUAGUUACUUGAUAUGUCUGCUAUAAAAUUUAUUUGUAUGAAGUUUUCUAUAAUUAUUCACUGUUAGAUAAUCAUUACCCUCAUUUUUAGACAAUGAAUAAACCUAAGAUAUUGUAUUAGAAUAGGAUUUUGACAUCAAGAUUCUAAAAUACAACACAUGGCACGAUGCCAACACUUAGCUUUAGGUAGAUAAUUGCUCAAUAGAACUUACCUAGAGACUUGGCAAAAGGAAGCAUGAGAAUGAUGAAAUUGUCUUAUAACGUCAUCUUUAAACCAGACCUGCUUAAUUAUUAGCCCUGGAGAGGGCUAAGAGGUUGGAAAUUCCUUUUUCAGACAAGUUUACCUUUCUUGUUUCAUUUACUGUCUUACUAUGUUAUAUGAAAUCAUGCUGUUUAAAUUUUCAUAAUUUUAUUCAUGUGUAUAAUGUAUAAUUUUACAAUUUGUGGUGUCUGAUAUGUUAUUUUCCAGUAACAUUUCCUUACAGAUAUAAGGACAACAUUAAAAUUAAACUAAGACAUCUGAUACCUAGCAGAUAUUUAAUAAAUAUUUAAGUUACUAUUGAAUGAAUUAAUAACCGAUUUACUUAACAUGGUGGUUUUAAAAGGUCAGAAUUUUUAGAAUUCCUUUAUCAGCAAAACAUAGUUUUGGAGACUUCUCUGUUUUCAAAGUGUUUACUUUUAAUAUUCAAUAUUUUUAUAUUUCUCAUAGUUGAAAAGAUGAAAGUCCAUAGAAACAGUAAAAUGAAUUUUUUUAGAUUAAAUCUUUUUAGACUAUGCUUUUGGUUUUGGUAUUUGCUCCUACAGAAAAGAAAUUGCUCUAACAAAAGCAGGUCUAAAGAGAGGAUUUAUUCAAGAAUCAAGAAUAACGUGGAAAAUCAAGUAAAAUAAAUUAGAAGUGAAAAUGUCCACUAGAUUAAUUAGAUGAAUCUAGACAUGAGAAUCUAAGUUAUUUUCUAUCAUUUUGUCCUCAUUUUUAAAAGGCUCAGACAAUGAAAUUUCCAUCACUUCAUUCUCAUUCAGUAAUGUGUGUACAGCUAUUCAUCCAAAUGUCACUUUGUUCAGAUGCCCUUCCCCCCUGAUACCAGUCUCUUCAAUGUCAUCUAUAUGCAUUUUUAUUAAGAUAACAAGUGAGCAUGUAAGAGAAGCUAAAGCUUUACCAUUGGUUUAGAAGAUCAUGAAAUGAAGCAGAACAAAAAGUUAUAAUGCAGUAAAAUAAAAUUCAUAUUUGUGAAUAUUGUGCUAAAGAAGUGUUUAAGUAGCUUAGUUAUUUUUGCCAGAAGAAUGACAAUGUAAACAGAAGCUUAAACUGUUCCUAUCCCAGAGAGGUUAAGUGUGGUCACAUUCAAAUACUUAAAAACUGGCUCUGCCACUGGUUGGUUGUGUGACCUUAACCAAGUUGCUGUCUCUCUCCAAGCCUCAGUUUUAAAUUGUAAGAUGUCUUGUCCCAAAUUUUUAUAAUCCUAGAACAGAGUUGGCCUCCAAUAUAUCCAUUUUGCAAAUAAUUCUGUACACUGACAUUACUCAUAAAAGCAAAGGGAAAAGUUAAAUACUCUUGUAGAUUUAUAUGGAAAUCUCAAUGUCACCUUAAAAUUCUGGAAAAAUAUGUUUAACUUUGCCAAUAUAGAAAAAGUUUUAGGUUUGUUUCUCCCACCCUUUAUCUGACCAACAGCUUGACUGUAUGAGACAUGAUAAAAAAACAACAAAAGUUACUCCACUGGGACUCACUGUGGAAGAGAGGCACUCACUGUAAAUGAAAAAUAAUAAAUUUGAAAAGUUUAUCAGGUAAAGCAUUUAAUUGAAUUAAUGAGACAAUAUGGAGUACUAGAUUUAGUUAACUGAUGUUUACAGUAAUUUAAAACUUAGAAUAUUUUCUAAAACAAAUAUUUAAAAGUUUGCUGAAUAUUUAAUGAGUAAGGAUAUUAUUAAGUCAUAUAAAAGUAUUAUGUAAUAAAGUAUUAUGUAGUAAUAUAGAAGUUUUAAGAAUUGUGUUCAAUGUGUUUUAAGCCAUAUAACUCGAGUGUUUGAUUACAAUUUCUCUUAAGAUUGACUUCUUUCUUCUGGAAGUAGAGUUCAAGAGACUAAUUUACGUUUACUAAGGAUUCAAUUUGAAGAAUUCCAGUUUCCUUUAAGCAAGAUUUCAGUUUACUUCAAACUCAACGGAAAUAUAUUGUAUUCAUGAUUUGACAACACACUUGGAAGACCUACAUUCCUAAGGAUUCGAAUUAUAAGCCUUUCAGUUAGAAUCUGUUGGUUGUUAUCAAGGCCAUGCAUUUGUAAUCUCUCCUGCCAGAAAUUGCAUCAGAAGGAAUUGGAUUAUCAAGAGUGGCUACUGGUUUUGAUCUUGGUUAUAUACAUGAUGUAUAGAAUAGGACAAUUUUACUCAUGCAAAUCUAUUUUUGAAUAGUGUGAAAAUCUGAGGUGAUAAUUUGAGGUUUUAAAUUCUGUAUUUCAGAGUGAAUAUAUAAUUUUAUUUCAUCAAAAAAAGUUAUUAAAAAACUACUUCAAAAUGCCUUAAAAUUUUUGUUUGCAUUUUUAACUGAGAUAAUCUUUUAUUAUUAAGGGCCUAUUCUGUGCCCAGUAUUUCACUAUAGUCUUAAAAAAUAAAUGAUCUCUGUCAGCAAAGAACUUUUAGCCUAGAUGGGAACAUUAUACUAACAUACAAGAAACAACUAGAGGCUAGUGGAAUGUAAAGUCUGCCUUGCUGACUUUAAGUGCAGUAGAAGCUCAAAGAAAAUGUGGACUGAGACUCAUCAGAGAAGACUUCGUAGAGCAGAUGGAAGAUGACUGGGCUUAAAGAAUGAAAAUUCUUUAAGUGAAAUGAAGGAAUUGGAGACUUUCAAGUGCCAAAAGCAUGAAUCGAGGCAUGAUCAGAUAGGAAGGACUAAAGCAGAUACACUAGAUUGAAAGCAGAGAUUUGUAUUGGGGAAUAGGUAGGUAAAUGAGUGGAACCAUGUUUGAAAUUGUUUUCCUUCCUUUACAUAAGGUGCCCUAAUUUCUAAUAGAAGAAAACAAGAAUAUUCGAAUUGCCUGGACCUUUCAGAAGCCAAUGUGUGAAAAUUUGAAGAAAAAAGCAUGAUCUGAGAUGGAAGAUCGUAGUAGAAUGAAAAGUCCUACAUGAAAAAAUACUUUCCAAGAAACACCAUUACCAUAAUCAAAAAAACAAAUGUAUUCAGUAUCUGCUGCAGUUCUUUAAAGUGACUGAAGAAAAUGGCAUGUAUUUUCACAACACCCAAUAUCCCUCUGCAAAAAAAAAAAAAAAGAGCUGGCUAUACCUGUACCAUGGGUACCUAGACCAUGUGGAACAAGGACUGAGACUGGAAGCUGCAAACAGACAUUGUCUGGACAGAGCAGAGUGCCUGAAAACAGCCACCUAGCGAAGGGCAGUAAAUGUGACGUGAGAUGAUCCCCUCGGCACAGAACUGCGAGACCGAGGAGCUGGCAGUGGAGCCAGCACGCUGGGACAGACCGCGACCUGGGCCCGUUGGACGCCCACCCGCACGCCGCCGAUCCCCACACCCGUCCCGGUGCCCCGCCGGUUCCCGUGUGCAGCUGGAACUGGGGCUCAGACCGAGCUCUCCGCCAGCCCCCACCCACGCAGAGGGGCCGCGCGGCGCCGGGAAGCGGACGUCGACGCUGGAGACGAGUGGGCUUGGCCUAGAUAGCUGGAGCGCGGGCGCCAGGAGG